GUCGAACGAGAAAGGGUAGCAAUACCCAAGUAAAGUGGCGCACGGGUGAGUAACACGUGACUAACCUACCCUGGAGUGGGGGAUAACUGAGGGAAACCUUAGCUAAUACCGCAUAAUACCUACGGGUCAAAGGAGCAAUUCGCUUUGGGAGGGGGUCGCGGCCGAUUAGUUAGUUGGCGGGGUAAUGGCCCACCAAGACAGUGAUCGGUAUCCGGCCUGAGAGGGCGCACGGACACACUGGAACUGAAACACGGUCCAGACUCCUACGGGAGGCAGCAGUGGGGAAUUUUGCGCAAUGGGGGAAACCCUGACGCAGCAACGCCGCGUGGAGGAUGAAGUACUUCGGUACGUAAACUCCUUUCGAUCGGGACGAUAAUGACGGUACCGGAAGAAGAAGCCCCGGCUAACUUCGUGCCAGCAGCCGAGGUAAUACGAGGGGGGCAAGCGUUGUUCGGAAUUAUUGGGCGUAAAGGGUGCGUAGGCGGUUUGGUAAGUCUUGUGUGAAAUCUCCGGGCUCAACUCGGAGUCUGCACAGGAAACUGCCGGGCUUGAGUGUGGGAGAGGUGAGUGGAAUUUCCGGUGUAGCGGUGAAAUGCGUAGAUAUCGGAAGGAACACCUGUGGCGAAAGCGGCUCACUGGACCACAACUGACGCUGAUGCACGAAAGCUAGGGGAGCAAACAGGAUUAGAUACCCUGGUAGUCCUAGCCCUAAACGAUGACUGCUUGGUGUGACGGGUAC
rnacentral:rRNA from 1 species